GAUGAACGCUAGCGAUAGGCCUAACACAUGCAAGUCGAGGGGCAUCACAUGAAGUAGCAAUACGGAUGGUGGCGACCGGCGCACGGGUGAGUAACACGUAUGCAACCUGCCUUCAACAAGGGGAUAACCCGUUGAAAGACGGACUAAUACCCUAUAACACAGGGGUCCCGCAUGGGAAUAUUUGUUAAAGGACAACCGGUUGAAGAUGGGCAUGCGUUCCAUUAGCUAGUUGGCGGGGUAACGGCCCACCAAGGCAACGAUGGAUAGGGGAACUGAGAGGUUUAUCCCCCACACUGGUACUGAGACACGGACCAGACUCCUACGGGAGGCAGCAGUGAGGAAUAUUGGUCAAUGGACGCAAGUCUGAACCAGCCACGUCGCGUGAAGG
rnacentral:rRNA from 1 species